UACAGAGGGUGCAAGCGUUAAUCGGAAUUACUGGGCGUAAAGCGCACGUAGGUGGAUACCUAAGUCGAAUGUGAAAUCCCCGGGCUUAACCUGGGCAUUGCAUCCGAUACUGGGUAUCUUGAGUAUGGUAGAGGAGAGUAGAAUUCCCGGUGUAGCGGUGAAAUGCGUAGAUAUCGGGAGGAAUACCAGUGGCGAAAGCGGCUCUCUGGACCAAUACUGACACUCAGGUGCGAAAGCGUGGGGAGCAAACAGG
rnacentral:rRNA from 1 species